UACGAAGGGGGCUAGCGUUGCUCGGAAUCACUGGGCGUAAAGGGUGCGUAGGCGGGUCUUUAAGUCAGGGGUGAAAUCCUGGAGCUCAACUCCAGAACUGCCUUUGAUACUGAAGAUCUUGAGUCCGGGAGAGGUGAGUGGAACUGCGAGUGUAGAGGUGAAAUUCGUAGAUAUUCGCAAGAACACCAGUGGCGAAGGCGGCCCACUGGCCCGAUACUGACGCUGAGGCACGAAAGCGUGGGGAGCAAACAGG
rnacentral:rRNA from 1 species